rnacentral:rRNA from 1 species
CACGUAGGGCGCAAGCGUUGUCCGGAAUUAUUGGGCGUAAAGAGCUCGUAGGCGGUCUGUUGCGUCCGUUGUGAAAACUCGAGGCUCAACCUCGAGACGCCGAUGGAAACCCUCCAGCUAGAGUCCGGAAGAGGAGAGUGGAAUUCCUGGUGUAGCGGUGAAAUGCGCAGAUAUCAGGAAGAACACCCGUGGCUAAGGCGGCUCUCUAGUACGGUACUGACGCUGAGACGCGAAAGCGUGGGGAGCGAACAGG